UUUCCAAUGCCUCCCAUUCCGG
rnacentral:miRNA from 1 species